rnacentral:rRNA from 1 species
GAUGAACGCUGGCGGCGUGCCUAAUACAUGCAAGUCGAGCGAACGGACGAGAAGCUUGCUUCUCUGAUGUUAGCGGCGGACGGGUGAGUAACACGUGGAUAACCUACCUAUAAGACUGGGAUAACUUCGGGAAACCGGAGCUAAUACCGGAUAAUAUUUUGAACCGCAUGGUUCAAAAGUGAAAGACGGUCUUGCUGUCACUUAUAGAUGGAUCCGCGCUGCAUUAGCUAGUUGGUAAGGUAACGGCUUACCAAGGCAACGAUGCAUAGCCGACCUGAGAGGGUGAUCGGCCACACUGGAACUGAGACACGGUCCAGACUCCUACGGGAGGCAGCAGUAGGGAAUCUUCCGCAAUGGGCGAAAGCCUGACGGAGCAACGCCGCGUGAGUGAUGAAGGUCUUCGGAUCGUAAAACUCUGUUAUUAGGGAAGAACAUAUGUGUAAGUAACUGUGCACAUCUUGACGGUACCUAAUCAGAGAGCCACGGCUAACUACGUA